rnacentral:rRNA from 1 species
GAGUUUGAUCGUGGCUCAGGAUGAACGCUGGCGGCGUGCCUAACACAUGCAAGUCGAACGGGUGUACGGGAGGAAGGCUUCGGCCGGAAACCUGUGCAUGAGUGGCGGACGGGUGAGUAACGCGUGGGCAACCUGGCCUGGUACAGGGGGAUAACACUUAGAAAUAGGUGCUAAUACCGCAUAACGGGGGAAGCCGCAUGGCUUUUCCCUGAAAACUCCGGUGGUACAGGAUGGGCCCGCGUCUGAUUAGCCAGUUGGCAGGGUAACGGCCUACCAAAGCGACGAUCAGUAGCCGGCCUGAGAGGGCGGACGGCCACACUGGGACUGAGACACGGCCCAGACUCCUACGGAGGCAGCAGUGGGGGAUAUUGCACAAUGGGGGGAACCCUGAUGCAGCGACGCCGCGUGGGUGAAGAAGCGCCU